AUGAACAUUGCCCUCUUGACUAGGUGGCAUUGGCGGAUUACGAAUGGGGAGGGUGGCCUAUGGUUUCGCAUCAUCCAGCAGAAGUACCUUCGGGGCCAACCGCUCGCCUUCUGCCAGCGGUCUGGCGGUUCCCAGUUCUGGCAAUCAAUCAUACAGCUCCUUCCCGUCCUUCGCAUUAGAUCUUCGAUUGCGGUUGGGUCUGGCACUGCCACGCUGUUUUGGUUCGAUUGCUGGGCUGGGGACGCCUCCUUCGCGGCUCGUUUUCCUGACCUAUUCUCCACCAUGGUGGACCCGCGGAUUUCUAUCGCGGCAGCCUUUAUUGACUUAGGGCAACUCGCGUUCCGGCGCCAAUUUGGACCGGCAGAGAAUGCGGCUUGGCAUGACCUGCUCGACUGCAUUGCGCUGCAUGUGCCUGAGCUAGAGGCCGGUGAUGACCGCACCAGGUGGCGGCUAGAGCCAUCUGGACUAUUCUCUACUAAAUCACUCUACCAGGUGAUCGCCCCCUCUUCGGGUCCGGAGGCUCUUACCACCAUCUGA
rnacentral:rRNA from 1 species